CUCCCGCUCUGCGCCCAGUCUUUGGCGCGAGGCUCUGUCAGUCAAGUGGGCUCUAGGAAAGGAUUGGCUCCUAGCGAUAGGCUUGCUGCGCUGUUCUGACUGAUUGGGGCACUGGCCGCGACGUCUCCAAACUCUACUCUUGUCCUUGACCUUCACCUGUUAAAAGGCCAGAGAACAAGUGGGAGCUCCCUCUGAUUUCCUAAGCCAUCAUCACCUUGAGUAGAACCUCAACCAGCUGCGACCUACCGUACUUUGUUCUCAGCCAUUCCUCUGAGACUUCCCUUGCCAACUUUAUGGCUAAAUCUGGGAGCCACUUCUCAGACCUUAUACUUCUCAAAAACCAUUUGACUUGACUAUUUCUUCACUGCUAUCCCUGAUAUGUGCUUCUGGUUUUCCUCCCUGUCAGUUCUCUUUAUCCCUUUUUGCAGUUGCCUCUUUUCUCUGCCAUCUCAAGUUCAAGUGUUACUAAUAGGCUUAUCUUUCCACUGCCUUCAGGCCUCUACUGACUCUCACCUGAAUUACUUCUGCAGCCUCCUAACUGGUCUCCCAGCAUCAUUCUGUAGCCAAAAUACGCUGGUUAAAGUUCUUUAGUGGAAUCUCACCGCUCUUAAUGAUACAGUACAAACUCCUUACCAAAUCGUGAAAGAUAAGACCCUUGCUUUUCCCUCAGGCUUCAUCCCUCUACAUUACCCACCAUCCUUUUUCCUUACCCCAAUCCCUUUUCUUCCUUGAGUUCUGGGACUCUACAGUGGCCGGGAGACUCAGUUUGUACUGCUGUUUUUCCUCCCAGAAAGAUUUCUCCCUGCCUCUUCUCUGCUAUGCCCAGGAUUCAUUUUAGAAAUUACUUUCUGAAGGAAGUCGUCCAUUCUGUCCAUUCACCCAUCCUACCUUCACCUCCAAGUUUUCCUUCAAUGUAGGUUUACCAGAUAAAAGACAGAAUCUGUCUACCACUUGAAUCAAUUUAUUUUACUUCAGUAACAAGGACAAGGUAUAGAAUGAGUCAUGUACCCAUACAUGGAAUUGUCCAUUGAAGAAACCGAUCACUUACAAAUCUAUGCUUGCAAUUUGGAACAUGUGUCCUGGUGCCUUUCUAUUUUGAGCUUAUUUUUAAAAAUCACUUUUGGUAUGUA